rnacentral:rRNA from 1 species
CCUACGGGAGGCAGCAGUCGGGAAUAUUGCGCAAUGGAGGAAACUCUGACGCAGUGACGCCGCGUGCAGGAAGAAGGUUUUCGGAUUGUAAACUGCUUUAGACAGGGAAGAAAAAAGACAGUACCUGUAGAUUAAGCACCGGCUAACUACGUGCCAGCAGCCGCGGUAAUACGUAGGGAGCAAGCGUUAUCCGGAUUUAUUGGGUGUAAAGGGUGGGUAGACGGGGAAGCAAGUUUGUUGUGAAAUCCCUCGGCUUAACUGCGGAACUGCAACUAAAACUACUCCCCUUGAGUACUAGAGAGGAAAGUGGAAUUCCUAGUGUAGCGGUGAAAUGCGUAGAUAUUAGGAAGAACACCAGUGGCGAAGGCGGCUUACUGGACUGUAACUGACGUUGAGGCUCGAAAGCGUGGGGAGCAAACAGGAUUAGAUACCCUAGUAGUC